UCCGAUAUGGUCUAGUGGCUAGGAUUUGCCGCUCUCAUCUCGAGACUCAGUUCACUGAUUACAAGGUGCCGGCAAGGCCCGGGUUCGAUUCCCGGUGUCGGAA